rnacentral:misc_RNA from 1 species
CAGAGUUCAUGCCCUCGCGGGUAGAUCUCCCACCCUUGAUAUAUUACCUUUGUUGCUUUGGCGGGCCGCCUCGGCUACCGGCUUCGGCUGGUAAGUGCCCGCCAGAGGAUCCAACUCAUGUCAUUUAGUGUCGUCUGAGUACUAUAUAAUAGUUA